ACGCGCCUAUUAAAAAAAUCAAAAUUUUAAAUGUGCAACGACUCUUUUAGCCGAAUUUUUUCUUCCUUUCUUUUUCAACGACCUUGUUACCUUUUUUUUAAAUUUUUUUAUUAUUUUCUUUUUCUUCCUAUAUAAACCCCUCACUUCUCCCCAUUUCAUUCACCCCGUUCACUCUUUCUCUCUAUUUCUUCUUCAUUUCUUUCACCUCCACCAAAAAAUGGCUUCCUGGUUCGAUCAUUCUUUGUCUUCGUUCAAGGGGGAGAAGCAACCCGCCGGAUAGUGGUGGCAGGUAUCCGACAAAUAGCGGGUGGCGAAUACCUGCCGGAUAGCGGGUUCGC
rnacentral:lncRNA from 1 species